rnacentral:rRNA from 1 species
CCUACGGGUGGCAGCAGUGGGGAAUAUUGGACAAUGGGGGCAACCCUGAUCCAGCCAUGCCGCGUGUGUGAAGAAGGCCCUCGGGUUGUAAAGCACUUUCAGUGAGGAAGAACGCCUGGUGGUUAAUACCCAUCAGGAAAGACAUCACUCACAGAAGAAGCACCGGCUAACUCCGUGCCAGCAGCCGCGGUAAUACGGAGGGUGCGAGCGUUAAUCGGAAUUACUGGGCGUAAAGCGCGCGUAGGUGGCUUGAUAAGCCGGUUGUGAAAGCCCCGGGCUCAACCUGGGAACGGCAUCCGGAACUGUCAAGCUAGAGUGCAGGAGGGGAGGGUGGAAUUCCCGGUGUAGCGGUGAAAUGCGUAGAGAUCGGGAGGAAUACCAGUGGCGAAGGCGGCCUUCUGGACUGACACUGACACUGAGGUGCGAAAGCGUGGGUAGCAAACAGGAUUAGAUACCCCUGUAGUC